AUUGAACGCUGGCGGCAGGCCUAACACAUGCAAGUCGAACGAGUGGCGGACGGGUGAGUAAUGUCUGGGAAACUGCCUGAUGGAGGGGGAUAACUACUGGAAACGGUAGCUAAUACCGCAUACCAUCAGAUUUGCCCAGAUGGGAUGAACUAGUUGGUGGGGUAACGCCUCACCAAGGCGACGAUCCCUAGCGGGUCUGAGAGGAUGACCAGCCACACGGUAACUGUGACACUGUCGAGACGCCGACGGGAGGCAGGAGUGGGGAAUAUUGCACAAUGGGCGAAAGCCUGAUGCAGCCAUGCCGCGUGGAUGAAGAAGGCCUUCGGGUUGUAAAGUACUUUCAGCUGAGAGGCGUUACCCGCAGAAGAAGCACCGGCUAACUCCGUGCCAGCCGCCGCGGUAAUAC
rnacentral:rRNA from 1 species